rnacentral:rRNA from 1 species
GCUCAGUAACACGUGGAUAACAUGCCCUGAAGUGGAGGAUAAUCUCGGGAAAUUGAGGAUAAUACUCCAUAGAUCAUAGGAUCUGGAAUGACUUAUGGUCGAAAGUUCCGGCGCUUCAGGAUUGGUCUGCGGCCUAUCAGGUUGUAGUGGGUGUAACGGACCCACUAGCCGACGACGGGUAUGGGCCUUGAGAGAGGGAGCCCAGAGAUGGAUUCUGAGACACGAAUCCAGGCCCUACGGGGCGCAGCAGUCGCGAAAACUUCACACUGGAGGCAACUCCGAUGAGGGAAUUCCUAGUGCUAGCACAUUAGUGUUAGCUUUUCUUAAGCGUAGAUAACUUAAGGAAUAAGGGCUGGGUAAGACGGGUGCCAGCCGCCGCGGUAAUACCCGCAGCCCAAGUGGUGGUCGAUUUUAUUGAGUCUAAAACGUUCGUAGCCGGUUUGGUAAAUCCUUGGGUAAAUCGAGAGGCUUAACCCUUCGAAUUCCGAGGAGACUGCCAAACUUGGGACCGGGAGAGGCGAGAGGUACUUCUGGGGUAGGGGUAAAAUCCUGUAAUCCUAGAAGGACCACCGGUGGCGAAGGCGUCUCGCUAGAACGGAUCCGACGGUGAGGGACGAAGCCCUGGGUCGCAAACGGGAUUAGAUACCCCGGUAGUCCAGGGUGUAAACGCUGCACGCUUGGUGUUGGGGGCCCUACGGGGGCGUUCAGUGCCGGAGAGAAGUUGUUAAGUCUGCUACUUGGGGAGUACGUCCGCAAGGAUGAACUUAAGGAAUUGGCGGGGGAGCACCGCAACGGGAGGAGCGUGCGGUUUA